rnacentral:rRNA from 1 species
AACUGAGGUAAUUCUUGAGCUAAUACAUGCAGACGAGCUCUGACUUUACAGGAAGAGCGCAUUUAUUAGACCAAAAUCAAUCGGCGCAAGCCGUUUUUGGUGACUCUGAAUAACUACGCAGAUCGCUCAGGUUUUAUACCGGCGACAUGUCCUUCAAGUGUCUGCCUUAUCAACUUUCGAUGGUAGUUUCUAAGCCUACCAUGGUUGCGACGGGUAACGGAGAAUUAGGGUUCGACUCCGGAGAGGGAGCCUGAGAAACGGCUACCACUUCUAAGGAAGGCAGCAGGCGCGCAAAUUACCCACUCUCGGAUAGAGGAGGUAGUGACGAAAAAUAACGAGACAACCCGCUCUAGCGAGUUGUCAUCGGAAUGAGUACAAUCUAAAUCCUUUAACAAGGAUCUAGCGGAGGGCAAGUCUGGUGCCAGCAGCCGCGGUAAUUCCAGCUCCGCCAGUGUAUAUCUAUGCUGUUGCGGUUAAAAAGCUCGUAGUUGGAUCUUCGUGUCAGGGACCGGUCCACCUUUGUGGUGUGCACUGGCUUCCGACACUAAACCGUCAGUUUUCUGUUGGUGCCCUUCACCGGGUGUCUUCAGUGGCUGGCAUGUUUACUUUGAAAAAAUUAGAGUGCUCAAAACAAGCGUCUCGCUUGAAUAUUCGUGCAUGGAAUAAUAGAAUAGGUCCUUGGCUCUAUUUUGUUGGUUUUCGGCGCACAAGGAAAUGAUUAAGAGGGACAGACGGGGGCAUUCGUACUCCGACGUUAGAGGUGAAAUUCUUGGAUCGUCGGAUGACGCACUACUGCGAAAGCAUUUGCCAAGAAUGUUUCAUAAUCAAGA